CGCACUCUCGUUUAGAUUGAAGGAGCUUGCUCCUGAUUGAUAAACAUUUGAGUGAGUGGCGGACGGGUGAGUAACACGUGGGUAACCUGCCCUAAAGUGGGGGAUAACAUUUGGAAACAGAUGCUAAUACCGCAUAAAACCUAACACCGCAUGGUGUAGGGUUGAAAGAUGGUUUCGGCUAUCACUUUAGGAUGGACCCGCGGUGCAUUAGUUAGUUGGUGAGGUAAAGGCUCACCAAGACCGUGAUGCAUAGCCGACCUGAGAGGGUAAUCGGCCACACUGGGACUGAGACACGGCCCAGACUCCUACGGGAGGCAGCAGUAGGGAAUCUUCCACAAUGGACGAAAGUCUGAUGGAGCAACGCCGCGUGAGUGAAGAAGGUUUUCGGAUCGUAAAACUCUGUUGUUGGAGAAGAAUGUAUCUGAUAGUAACUGAUCAGGUAGUGACGGUAUCCAACCAGAAAGCCACGGCUAACUACGUGCCAGCAGCCGCGGUAAUACGUAGGUGGCAAGCGUUGUCCGGAUUUAUUGGGCGUAAAGCGAGCGCAGGCGGUUUCUUAAGUCUGAUGUGAAAGCCUUCGGCUCAACCGAAGAAGUGCAUCGGAAACUGGGAAACUUGAGUGCAGAAGAGGACAGUGGAACUCCAUGUGUAGCGGUGAAAUGCGUAGAUAUAUGGAAGAACACCAGUGGCGAAGGCGGCUGUCUGGUCUGUAACUGACGCUGAGGCUCGAAAGCAUGGGUAGCAAACAGGAUUAGAUACCCUGGUAGUCCAUGCCGUAAACGAUGAGUGCUAGGUGUUGGAGGGUUUCCGCCCUUCAGUGCCGCAGCUAACGCAUUAAGCACUCCGCCUGGGGAGUACGACCGCAAGGUUGAAACUCAAAGGAAUUGACGGGGGCCCGCACAAGCGGUGGAGCAUGUGGUUUAAUUCGAAGCAACGCGAAGAACCUUACCAGGUCUUGACAUCCUUUGACCACUCUAGAGAUAGAGCUUUCCCUUCGGGGACAAAGUGACAGGUGGUGCAUGGUUGUCGUCAGCUCGUGUCGUGAGAUGUUGGGUUAAGUCCCGCAACGAGCGCAACCCUUAUUACUAGUUGCCAGCAUUUAGUUGGGCACUCUAGUGAGACUGCCGGUGACAAACCGGAGGAAGGUGGGGACGACGUCAAAUCAUCAUGCCCCUUAUGACCUGGGCUACACACGUGCUACAAUGGAUGGUACAACGAGUUGCGAGACCGCGAGGUUUAGCUAAUCUCUUAAAACCAUUCUCAGUUCGGAUUGUAGGCUGCAACUCGCCUACAUGAAGCCGGAAUCGCUAGUAAUCGCGGAUCAGCAUGCCGCGGUGAAUACGUUCCCGGGCCUUGUACACACCGCCCGUCACACCAUGAGAGU
rnacentral:rRNA from 2 species